AUCCUGCAUUUUUAAACAAUGUACUUUGUUGACAGAAACUAUGCAAGAAUUUUGGCGAUAUCGAUAUAGCAGGACUAACACUCGGACUAAUAUAUUUAAACCCCAAAUUUCCAUGACUUAAUUCUUGUAUUGCUAAGGUGA